rnacentral:rRNA from 1 species
GACGAACGCUGGCGGCGUGCUUAACACAUGCAAGUCGAACGCUGAAGACCUGGCUUUUGUUGGGUUGGAUGAGUGGCGAACGGGUGAGUAACACGUGAGUAACCUGCCCUCUUCUUUGGGAUAACGCCCGGAAACGGGUGCUAAUACUGGAUAUUCACUGAUCUUCGCAUGGGGGUUGGUGGAAAGGUUUGUUCUGGUGGGGGAUGGGCUCGCGGCCUAUCAGCUUGUUGGUGGGGUGAUGGCCUACCAAGGCUUUGACGGGUAGCCGGCCUGGGAGGGUGACCGGUUACCUUGGGACUGGGAUACGGCCCCGACUCCUUCGGGAGGCAGCAGUGGGGGAUAUUGCACAAUGGGCGGAAGCCUGAUGCAGCGGCGGCGCGUGAGGGAUGGAGGCCUUCGGGUUGUAAACCUCUUUCGCUCAAGGGCAAGCCGCAACUGUGGGGUGUGGUUAGGGUAGUGGGUAAAGAAGCGCCGGCUAACUACGUG